GCGUCGGUAGUGCAAUGGUUCAGCACAAGUGCUCGGAUAGAGUGAAAUGUGGAUUCGAAUCCCACCCGACUCA